AAAUAUCUAAAAAAACUAAGUUUAGAAGAAAUUCAUUGAAAAGAAAGUUUGUAGUGUUUAGCUAUCACCUAAGUUAGUACUAGCUUACUGGUAAUACUGAUGAACCUUUAGGUUAUUAUUGAAGUUAUCUAUGUGUUUAUCGUACUGCAUGCAUAGAUGUUAAAAUUUUUUGAGAGGAAGGAAACCUCCUGAUUCUGGGUUGUGUUUUACCAAUUCUUGCAUGCAUGAUAAGUUUUGAGAGAUUGAUCAUUUGAUAUGUAUAAUUAUCAUUCUUUUAGCUCAAGAAGCUAACGAGGGUCCCAACGGUAAAGGCAAAUGAUUUGCUGUGUAGAUUUGUACUAGAGUUUCUGGUGAGUUCCUUAUUACUUCCAUUUGUUGUAAAUUCCAUUGUUAUAUAAAUUAUGUAAGGUAAGUAAUCUUCCUCAGUAAUGUAUGAAUGGUUAAUGUGGGGGUAAUGGUCAUCCAGUGUAAUCAGUCUGAGUUCAGUUUGUUUGUGUUCAAUCUGUUUGUAUGGGUAAUGGUGUAUGCGUGAGAUAUGAUAUGUGGUGAUGGAGAAUGAGAGACAUAUUUGUGAAGCCUCUGGUAGGGUAGCUAUAUUGCAAACCGAACUGGAAAAUCACAAUAAAACAUGCUAUUCUGAAUGAAAUCGAUAUGAGGAGUUAAGAGGGAGUAUGUAUGUGAAUGAGACUGUAUGAUAUGCUUUGAAUUUGAAUUAUAGGUACGUGAUUGGCAUGAGGAUGAGAUGUAUUUGUCGUGUUAAAUUGGCGUACAGUAUCCGCCUAUGUGUUAUGUAAAUUGGCAUAUUAAGUCUAUCCGUGUUCUGUAAAUGUCAUUAGGUGUAAUAUGAUCAAUAUGUGAAACUCCUUCUGAAAGGUUUGGUAUUAUCAUAUGAAUUGGUAUGUAGGAUUUCUCUUUACUUUUGGGAACUCACUAAGUGCAUAUGAAGUUACUCUGUUAUCUUUUCCUUCUCAGGCUUACUGACUGAAGGAAGACUUUUUUGUUGAAGGGACUACGCCAGAGAACUGUUGCUAUUGUGAGUUGUCUGUUUGUCCUAUAUUAUGCAUGACUUCUUGGGGGUGGCGUGUAAAUGUACUUUUGAAAGUGAUUUGUAUAACGAACCACUAUUUUGACGAGACACUAUUUUUAUGAGAACCUUAUCAAAUUUCAAUGCUUGGAUUUUAAUUAUUAUUAUUAUAUCUCAUUCAAUGAAGUUUAUUUAUUUGAACUUAUACACCAAAUGGUUUGAACAUUAUUUUGUACUAUCAAUGAUGUUCAUUUAAACCUUUGCAAAAC
rnacentral:lncRNA from 1 species